ensembl:lncRNA
CAAUCUGCAAACCAACCACGAACACGGAGCUCUGAACCCCCAGUCCAACCACCUAAUCAGGUGACCCGUCAACAAAGGACACAUAGUGCAGAGCGGCCACGAUUCCAGCGCGCUCACAGUAUGGACUCGCCUGCCUUUCAAAAUAUAGUUUCAAGUGAAACUGGAAAUCAUCAGCGUGCCCAAAGUGCAGAGCCUCCAAACUAUGAACAGAGUCCUGGUAUACACCCUAGCACCAUGGGUCAUCAGUCUGGUUUUGGACAAAUCAAGCAGUCCCUACCAAAGCGAAAUAGUCAAGAUGCUCAAGAACCAUCACAAAUGCACAGACCUUCACAACAACCACACCCAGCAUACAAAGAUCUCCAGCAGCCAUUACCUGGUCCCAGAGAUGCCCCACCACCUGUACAAAAGUAUAGGGCUAUUCUUCAACCAGUGCCUUUGGAUCGGGAAACUCGCCAACCAGCUCAAACACAUGUACCAACUCAGAAGCCUCUGCAUGAACAUGAACCCACCAUGCAUUCACGUCUGUCACAUGGGCAUUAUGGUCACAGCCCUCUGCAGUAUGGUUCAGUCCAGGCACUGCCUCCGGCAUAUGGACAAAUUGUUCACUCAGCUCCUUCCCAUACAGCUAGCCAUCUAUCUUCAUCUUCAAAUGCUCAUGCAGCUCACCCUGUGCCUGGACCUUCACUUCGUAAGUCUGAGACACUGGAUCCCAAAGGGCAAUUGCCCAUACCCAGUUUGGCACCUGCUGACAAAGAGGGUGAAGAAACUAGACGAAGGACCAUUGCUGAUCACAUUCAGCCCAUUCACAGAGAAGGUCGAUCAGCAUCAAGAGUGAAUCCAGCUUCAGAAGGGUUACUUAAGAGCAGAAAAGCUGUGCUACCCUCAGAGAUCCGUCGCAGACAAAAGAGUGUGGAUGAUCCCAUGCGUGGACAAACUGAUGAAGGUUUGGAAAGUGAGAGAAUCAGAAGGAUCAGCCAGUCAGAGGAGAUAGAGGAGAGAGGUGGAAGAAAGUUGCACCAGUUGGAAGAAAGGGAGGGGCCUUAUGGAAGAGGAAUUGCUCAGAUGGAGGAGGGAACAAUAGCAGGUGAAAAGGUAAUUGGUCUAGUUAAAGGCAGAGAACAGCAUGAUGACCGAAGGACCAGUCAGUCUGAAGAAAGAGAGGUAGAUAGUGGCACAAAGAAUAGUCGGAAAUGUGAAGAUGUGGCACGUGGUGUAAGGAAGAUUGGUCAAAGAGAAGAAAACAAGCAAGUGUCUGGAAUUAAAAAGGAGGAGGGUCAAGAUAAUUGGAGCACUAACCGGUUAGAGGGUAUGGAACAAGGAGGUGUCAGGAAAGUUGACGAAUUCAAAGAAAGAGAAUGGGAAGUUAAUCGAAGACAAGGCCACACUGUACACUCUGUUGAACCACUGGUGCAUGGUGAUAAGAAAAUCGGUCAAGAGGUAGAGCAGAAAGAAGGCCAAAUGUUCCUCAGAAAAGAAGUGGCAGAAGGACAUGGUAGAAGACGACGGAUUAAUCUGUCAGAGAAUGAAGAAGGGCAUGUUAGACGGAGAAGGAUAAGCCAAUCAGAAGAUGAUUUGGAGGAACGUAGGGUACAUAAAAUUGGACAGUUGGAUGCAUGGGAAGUGCAAGGAGUGCAUCGAAUGGGCCAGCCAGAUGGUAAUUUUGAAAGACCUGAGAAAGGAAAGCAGAGGUUAAACACACAUCUACCUGAGGAAAUGGACACCGCUCCAACACAGCUAACCAAUGAACAGCAUUUUCCACACCAUAGGGUGGGGGAUGUUGGAGGCUACUUGCAGAAAGGUUCCUCCCUCCCACAAGCUCAACAUCGAGUGAGCCAGGAUGCAGGUGACCUGAGGCCAAAGGUGCGAAUCCGUUCCAUGUCAGAUAUUGGAGUAACUC